rnacentral:miRNA from 1 species
GCUGUCAGUUUUCCCUAGUGCCGGGGGAGACUGUGGUUUGAAUGUGGACUUCUCAAAGUGGCUCCAUGCUGCGUCCCUGAGUGGGGCUGGGUCUCAGCC